UACGUAGGGGGCAAGCGUUACUCGGAAUUACUGGGCGUAAAGCGUGCGCAGGCGGUGAUGUAAGGCAGAUGUGAAAUCCCCGGGCUCAACCUGGGAACUGCAUUUGUGACUGCAUCGCUGGAGUGCGGCAGAGGGGGAUGGAAUUCCGCGUGUAGCAGUGAAAUGCGUAGAUAUGCGGAGGAACACCGAUGGCGAAGGCAAUCCCCUGGGCCUGCACUGACGCUCAUGCACGAAAGCGUGGGGAGCAAACAGG
rnacentral:rRNA from 1 species